rnacentral:lncRNA from 1 species
AAUGCCGCAAGAGAUAAAAAGUAGAGGUGCGCAAGCGAGUAAAAGAAGGGGAGAAGCAGAGAAAAAGGAGAAGAGAUAAAGACGCGAUCAGAAACUGAAUGGCGAGAAGAGUCCGCGGUCUAUUUAAAAUGAAAUGGGGCGUCGGUUGCUCCAGAAACCGACGUCUAUAGACGUCGGUGUCUCAGGGGAUCCGACGUCUAUUCUACGUCAAGAAGCUGAAAAGAAUGACGUUUGAUUUCCUGUCAGGGGUAGUUCACGUCGGUGCCCCUCCUAGCCGAUGUCUAAAACCCCCGAAUUUGGUGAAAAUAAUCAAUUACAGGAAGUUAGGCGUCGCUUACGAUCAGAACCGAC